GGAGGGAUGGCAGAGUGGUCGAAUGCGGCGGUCUCGAAAAUCGUUAUACCGAUAUUCUCGGUAUCUAGGGUUCGAAUCCCUAUCCCUCCGCCA
rnacentral:tRNA from 1 species